UACGUAGGGGGCAAGCGUUGUCCGGAAUCAUUGGGCGUAAAGAGCGUGUAGGCGGCCCGGUAAGUCCGCUGUGAAAGUCCAGGGCUCAACCCUGGAAUGCCGGUGGAAACUGUCGGGCUAGAGUCCGGAAGAGGCGAGUGGAAUUCCUGGUGUAGCGGUGGAAUGCGCAGAUAUCAGGAAGAACACCCGUGGCGAAGGCGGCUCUCUGGAACGCAACUGACGCUGAGACGCGAAAGCGUGGGGAGCAAACAGG
rnacentral:rRNA from 1 species